rnacentral:rRNA from 1 species
AGAGUUUGAUCAUGGCUCAGGACGAACGCUGGCGGCGUGCCUAACACAUGCAAGUCGAACGAAGAAUGUUUUUCGGAAUAUUCUUAGUGGCGGACGGGUGAGUAACGCGUGAACAAUCUGCCCCGUACAAAGGGAUAGCCUCGGGAAACCGGGAUUAAAACCAUAUAACGCUUUAGUACCGCAUGGUAAUAAAGUCAAAUCGAUUAAGAGGUAUGGGAUGAGUUCGCGUCUGAUUAGCUAGUUGGUGAGGUAAGGGCUCACCAAGGCGACGAUCAGUAGCCGGCCUGAGAGGGUGAACGGCCACACUGGAACUGAGACMCGGUCCAGACUCCUACGGGAGGCAGCAGUGGGGAAUAUUGCACAAUGGAGGGAACUCUGAUGCAGCGACGCCGCGUGAGUGAAGAAGGUCUUCGGAUCGUAAAACUCUGUCCUUGGUGAAGAAAAGGACGGUAGCCAAGGAGGAAGCCCCGGCUAACUACGUGCCAGCAGCCGCGGUAAUACGUAGGGGGCGAGCGUUGUCCGGAUUUACUGGGCGUAAAGGGUGAGUAGGCGGUUAUAUAUGUCAGGUGUAAAAAGCUAUGGCUUAACCAUAGUAAGCACUUGAAACUGUAUGACUUGAGUGCAGGAGAGGUAAGCGGAAUUCCUAGUGUAGCGGUGAAAUGCGUAGAUAUUAGGAGGAACACCGGUGGCGAAGGCGGCUUACUGGACUGUAACUGACGCUGAGUCACGAAAGCGUGGGUAGCAAACAGGAUUAGAUACCCUGGUAGUCCACGCUGUAAACGAUGAGUGCUAGGUGUUGGGUAGCGAUAUUCAGUGCCGGAGUAAACACAAUAAGCACUCCGCCUGGGGAGUACGGUCGCAAGACUGAAACUCAAAUGAAUUGACGG